rnacentral:rRNA from 1 species
GACGAACGCUGGCGGCGUGCUUAACACAUGCAAGUCGAACGGUAAGGCCCUUCGGGGUACACGAGUGGCGAACGGGUGAGUAACACGUGGGUGAUCUGCCCUGCACUUCGGGAUAAGCCUGGGAAACUGGGUCUAAUACCGGAUAGGACCCUGGGAUGCAUGUCCUGGGGUGGAAAGCUUUUGCGGUGUGGGAUGGGCCCGCGGCCUAUCAGCUUGUUGGUGGGGUGAUGGCUUACCAAGGCGACGACGGGUAGCCGGCCUGAGAGGGUGACCGGCCACACUGGGACUGAGAUACGGCCCAGACUCCUACGGGAGGCAGCAGUGGGGAAUAUUGCACAAUGGGCGCAAGCCUGAUGCAGCGACGCCGCGUGAGGGAUGACGGCCUUCGGGUUGUAAACUUCUUUCAGCACCGACGAAGCGCAAGUGACGGUAGGUGCAGAAGAAGGACCGGCCAACUACGUGCCAGCCGCCGCAGUAA